rnacentral:rRNA from 1 species
AACGAACGCUGGCGGCAUGCCUAACACAUGCAAGUCGAACGAGAUCUUCGGGUCUAGUGGCGCACGGGUGCGUAACGCGUGGGAAUCUGCCCUUUGGUUCGGAAUAACAGUUGGAAACGACUGCUAAUACCGGAUGAUGACGAAAGUCCAAAGAUUUAUCGCCAGAGGAUGAGCCCGCGUAGGAUUAGCUAGUUGGUGUGGUAAAGGCGCACCAAGGAGACGAUCCUUAGCUGGUCUGAGAGGAUGAUCAGCCACACUGGGACUGAGACACGGCCCAGACUCCUACGGGAGGCAGCAGUGGGGAAGAUUGGACAAUGGGCGAAAGCCUGAUCCAGCAAUGCCGCGUGAGUGAUGAAGGCCUUAGGGUUGUAAAGCUCUUUUACCCGGGAUGAUAAUGACAGUACCGGGAGAAUAAGCUCCGGCUAACUCCGUGCCAGCAGCCGCCGUAC